GAUGAACGCUGGCGGCGUGCUUAACACAUGCAAGUCGAACGAAGCACUUUAUUUGAUUUCCUUCGGGACUGAUUAUUUUGUGACUGAGUGGCGGACGGGUGAGUAACGCGUGGGUAACCUGCCUUGUACAGGGGGAUAACAGUUGGAAACGGCUGCUAAUACCGCAUAAGCGCACGGCAUCGCAUGAUGCAGUGUGAAAAACUCCGGUGGUAUAAGAUGGACCCGCGUUGGAUUAGCUAGUUGGUGAGGUAACGGCCCACCAAGGCGACGAUCCAUAGCCGACCUGAGAGGGUGACCGGCCACAUUGGGACUGAGACACGGCCCAAACUCCUACGGGAGGCAGCAGUGGGGAAUAUUGCACAAUGGGCGAAAGCCUGAUGCAGCGACGCCGCGUGAGCGAAGAAGUAUUUCGGUAUGUAAAGCUCUAUCAGCAGGGAAGAUAAUGACGUUACCUGACUAAGAAGCACCGGCUAAAUACGUG
rnacentral:rRNA from 1 species